ACACCUCAACUCUUGUGGUUUCCCACAAUGAGCUUGGACCAUGGGGGUUUUGUUGGCCUUCUGGUCAGCUCCUCUCAAAUAUAUCAGCUUACCGGUGUUUGGUGGCAUUAUGGGUGUGAUAACUAUCUACGCUCAUUGUUGUCUCCAAAUGGCCUCCAGUGAUGGGGGUUCGCUGGAGCUUAUAAAUGUCUCUCCCUAGUGAAGACAACCUUUGAA
rnacentral:misc_RNA from 1 species